UGGGGAAUAUUGGACAAUGGGCGAAAGCCUGAUCCAGCCAUGCUGCGUGUGUGAAGAAGGUCUUCGGAUUGUAAAGCACCUUAAGCUGGGAGGAAGGGCAGUAAGCGAAUACCUUGCUGUUUUGACGUUACCGACAGAAUAAGCACCGGCUAACUCUGUGCCAGCAGCCGCGGUAAUACAGAGGGUGCAAGCGUUAAUCGGAAUUACUGGGCGUAAAGCGCGCGUAGGUGGUUCGUUAAGUUGAAUGUGAAAGCCCCGAGCUCAACCUGUGAAGUGCAUCCAAAACUGGCGAGCUGGAGUAGGGCAUAGAGUGGUGGAAUGUCCUGUGUAGCGGUAAAAUGCGUAGAUAUAGGAAGGAACACCAGUGGCGAAGGCGACCACCUGGGCUCAUACUGACACUGAGGUGCGAAAGCGUGGGGAGCAAACAGG
rnacentral:rRNA from 1 species